rnacentral:ncRNA from 2 species
CAUGCCGAGGAGCGCUGCAACGGGCACAGUCCCGUGAGGCUCGGCACGGAAGGAUCGCAACAAACGGCGCUCGCUCAUC